ACGAAAGAUUGACGAUUGGUAAGAAAUCCACAACAAGUUGUUCUUCAUGACGAUGUAUCUGAGGGUCUGUAGCUCAGUUGGAUAGAGCACACGCUUGAUAAGCGUGGGGUCACAAGUUCAAGUCUUGUCAGACCCACCACUACUGACGAAGCAAGCAAUUGCAGAGCGAACAGAAACGGAACGGUACAUUGACUUAUUGAUAAGCUGGGGACUUAGCUUAGUUGGUAGAGCGCCUGCUUUGCACGCAGGAGGUCAGGAGCUCGACUCUCCUAGUCUCCACCACUCAUUGCGAUGCAAUGAGUUAAACAUUAAGCAAACGAACUGAUAGCUUAUAGAGCUUAGUGAUUAAGUUGCGUAUAAUACGCGGCAUUGUUAUUAAGCUCUGUGAUUUAUCACAGUAAUGCAGUCCGACGAGGAUGCAUUAAAUCAUUAACAGAAUAUAUUUGAGUUGAAAUAAUUUGUUCAUACUCAUACAAGAGCGGAAACAAGAGAUCGCAAGAUUGAUUGUUGAAGUGAUUGAAUGAGAACUAGCGAAAUUAACUGAAUCAAGCGUUUUGGUAUAUGAAUCUAAUUGAAGCUGUACAGUGAUUAAGUUCACAAGAUCGCAAACAACUACGUUGCUACACUGACUUGUAGGUGUAACGACUGUUUGGGGUUGUAU
rnacentral:tRNA from 1 species